AGAACGAACGCUGGCGGCAUGCCUAAUACAUGCAAGUCGAACGAACACUUCGGUGUUAGUGGCGCACGGGUGCGUAACGCGUGGGAAUCUGCCCUUGGGUUCGGAAUAACAGUUGGAAACGACUGCUAAUACCGGAUGAUGACGAAAGUCCAAAGAUUUAUCGCCCAGGGAUGAGCCCGCGUAGGAUUAGCUAGUUGGUGAGGUAAAGGCUCACCAAGGCGACGAUCCUUAGCUGGUCUGAGAGGAUGAUCAGCCACACUGGGACUGAGACACGGCCCAGACUCCGUACGGGAGCAG
rnacentral:rRNA from 1 species